AACGAACGCUGGCGGCAUGCCUAACACAUGCAAGUCGAACGAGAUCUUCGGGUCUAGUGGCGCACGGGUGCGUAACGCGUGGGAAUCUGCCCUUUGGUUCGGAAUAACAGUUGGAAACGACUGCUAAUACCGGAUGAUGACGAAAGUCCAAAGAUUUAUCGCCAGAGGAUGAGCCCGCGUAGAGUUAGCUAGGUGGUGUGGUAAAGGCGCACCAAGGCGACGAUCCGUAGCUGGUCUGAGAGGAUGAUCAGCCACACUGGGACUGAGACACGGCCCAGACUCCUACGGGAGGCAGCAGUGGGGAAUAGUGGACAAUGGGCGAAAGCCUGAUCCAGCAAUGCCGCGUGAGUGAUGAAGGCCUUAGGGUCGUAAAGCUCUUUUACCCGGGAUGAUAAUGACAGUACUGGGAGAAUAAGCUCCGGCUAACUCCGUGCCAGCCGCCGCCGUAA
rnacentral:rRNA from 1 species